GCUAUACCCCAUAUGCUUUCGAGUGAAAUGGAUUAUUCGCCUAAAGAGAAGCUCGCGGCUGAUUAGCUUGUUGGUAAGGUAAUGGCUUACCAAGGCGACGAUCAGUAUCUGGUUUGAGAGGACGAUCAGACACACUGGAACUGAGACACGGUCCAGACUCCUACGGGAGGCAGCAGUGGGGAAUUUUCCGCAAUGGGCGAAAGCNUGACGGAGCAAUACCGCGUGAGGGAAGACUGCCUAUGGGUUGUAAACCUCUUUUCUCAGGGAGGAAAUCAAUGACGUUACCUGAGGAAUAA
rnacentral:rRNA from 1 species